rnacentral:rRNA from 1 species
UACGUAGGGGGGCUAGCGUUGUCCGGAAUCAUUGGGCGUAAAGCGCGUGUAGGCGGCUUGACAAGUCUGCUGUGAAAGUCCAGGGCUCAACCCUCGAAUGCCGGUGGAUACUGUCGGGCUAGAGUACGGAAGAGGCGAGUGGAAUUCCUGGUGUAGCGGUGGAAUGCGCAGAUAUCAGGAGGAACACCAAUAGCGAAGGCAGCUCGCUGGGACGGUACUGACGCUGAGGCGCGAAAGGCGUGGGGAGCGAACAGG